rnacentral:lncRNA from 1 species
CGGUGAGAAUCAAACCAGCGUAGUUCGGGUAAAUAAACUAACUGAUUUUGUAAACAAACAUAUUUUUUUACUUUUUCAUUUUUUGAAAACAAAGAAAACUAAAAUAAAAGACUACAUAUUUUCUGCUUUCUUGGGUAAAACAAACAAACAAAAAAAAUUAAAAAAUAAUCAUCUAACUCUCCAACUGCUAAUUUUUCUUUUUCUCAAUUUUUUCUAAUUUUUUCUAACAUUCCCGAGAUUCAGAAGCCGUUCAACAUGCGGGUCCGAAACAUAUAAAUGCACAGAACACAAGUAGGAUGCAUCAAGAUGGUCUUUUUUGUUUCAGGUUGCUAUUCCUAGACGGACCCAACCCCUGUGUUGAGUCCCCUAAGUCAAAGAAUGCAUAUGAUGCAGAUAAGCGUUCCUAUUAGGGAUCCGGCAUGAAGUUGAGUUAUUCGAGUUUCAGAACCUAUGUGUUUGUUUUAGACGUGACUUCCCCGAGCGAACAGCUCGAGCCGAGGGGGGGGGCAGCGUACCGGGAUACAGAAGCUCAACCCGACUUUUCAACUUGUCCGAACCUCGUUCUAAAAUGGGAUUGACUCUAAACAGAAAAGAAGUCGCACGAAGUGCACCCUUCUUCAUGAUUUAGAAGACUCAGAGAGGAGAUGAGUUUCAGCACAGUUUAUAUGUACAGUCAAAUAAUAUCAAAGCAGUACCAAACAUCAUUUUGCACAUUAAGCAUAGAUCAUAUGAAAAUAUCAGAUAUAUGUACAGUCAAAUAAUAGAAGGCAAAGAAAUGAAGGAAGAUCAGUACAGCAGUAGCAGCAACUCAAACAACACCCAACUAGAAAACAGCAAUACCAAAAAUCAACUAAUACUAGGAAACCCAAGAAUAUCACACUGAAAGUCCAGUAACACUCAAGAAUACACUUAACAAUCACAGUAGAGGUGAACAGAAGUGAGACAAGUAGUAUUUUCUGGUUUUGGAUACUCUAGAAUUUAGUUCUAUAUUUUCAGCUUUUCUCUAUUUUUGAACUUCUAAUGUUAAAAUUCAUUUCUAUUUCCAUUCUUGUGGUGAUCCGAGUUAGUUCUAUAUUUUCAGCUUUUCUCUAUUUUUGAACUUCUAAUGUUAAAUUUCCUUUCUACACUCUCAAUUUCUAACCUCAAAAUUCAGUCUACUCUCCAAAAAAAUUUUGUAUUUAUAGUAACCACUAAACCUAACCUCCUUUGAAAAACUUCACUUAUUCCACCAACCAUCCCAAGAAAAUCUGCUUAUUUUCAACUAAAUCCCACUAAGGAAUGAUUUUCCUUAUUUUCUUCCCUAAAUUAAGGCAUGAUAUAAGGGCUUAUUUUCCACUAGCAUUAAAUUAAUGAUAAGUUCUUGUCUUAUUAUUGCUUGACUAGCAGACCCUUAAUUUAGUCAAAUCUGACCAUUUUUCCUUCCCAAAAUACCCCUGAAUGACAGCCCAUUUAAAAUGUCCAAAUUACCCUUUAAACCCCCUGGUAAUUACAGUGAUUAACCUAAGGUUGAAGGUCUGAAAUCACUACUCUAUAAUAUGGCAUUCGAUCUCUGAUUUCAGGCUUUAAGCUUAUGAUUUCUACAGCUAAUACUAAUCCUAAGUUCAAAAAGGCAGAAGGGGGCAAAUUCAAGGGGAGUGAGCUGGUCAGUUUGGUAAACCAAAACUGACCAACUCCAAAUCAAUCAUACAGGGCAUUUGAUAUUACAAAAUGAUGAGUUUAAGGCUACUGAAUCAGAGGCACAUUGACACAAGAGAAAGCACACUAGCAAUUAUGAAUUUGGAUGAACAAUCAUGCAUUUUCUACUUGUUUCAGUGAAUUCAUUUGACGAC